rnacentral:rRNA from 1 species
ACGAACGCUGGCGGCGUGCCUAAUACAUGCAAGUCGAGCGAACUAAUUAAGAGCUUGCUCUUAUGAGGUUAGCGGCGGACGGGUGAGUAACACGUGGGCAACCUGCCCUGUAGACUGGGAUAACAUCGAGAAAUCGGUGCUAAUACCGGAUAAUUGUUGGAACUGCAUAGUUCUAACUUAAAAGAUGGCUCCGGCUAUCACUAUAGGAUGGGCCCGCGGCGCAUUAGCUAGUUGGUAAGGUAAUGGCUUACCAAGGCGACGAUGCGUAGCCGACCUGAGAGGGUGAUCGGCCACACUGGGACUGAGACACGGCCCAGACUCCUACGGGAGGCAGCAGUAGGGAAUCUUCCGCAAUGGACGAAAGUCUGACGGAGCAACGCCGCGUGAGUGAUGAAGGUUUUCGGAUCGUAAAGCUCUGUUGUUAGGGAAGAACAAGUGCCGUUCGAAUAGGGCGGCACCUUGACGGUACCUAACCAGAAAGCCACGGCUAACUACGUG